UACGUAGGGAGCAAGCGUUUGUCCGGAAUCAUUGGGCGUAAAGCGCGCGUAGGUGGCUUCGUAAGUCCGUUGUGAAAGUCAAAGGCUCAACCUUUGAAAGCCGAUGGAUACUGUGAAGCUAGAGUACGGAAGAGGCGAGUGGAAUUCCUGGUGUAGCGGUGGAAUGCGCAGAUAUCAGGAGGAACACCAAUAGCGAAGGCAGCUCGCUGGGACGUUACUGACACUGAGGCGCGAAAGCGUGGGGAGCGAUCCGG
rnacentral:rRNA from 1 species